rnacentral:rRNA from 1 species
CGAGUGAAGAGGGAUAAGCUCAAAUUUAAAAUCUGGCAGCUUCGCUGUCCGAGUUGUAAUUUAGAGAAGUGUUACCCGUGCUGGACCGUGUAUAAGUCUCCUGGAAUGGAGCGUCAUAGAGGGUGAGAAUCCCGUCUUUGACACGGACUACCAGUGCAUUGUGGUGCGCUCUCGAAGAGUCGAGUUGUUUGGGAAUGCAGCUCUAAAUGGGUGGUAAAUUCCAUCUAAAGCUAAAUAUUGGCGAGAGACCGAUAGCGAACAAGUACCGUGAGGGAAAGAUGAAAAGAACUUUGGAAAGAGAGUUAAACAGUACGUGAAAUUGCUGAAAGGGAAACGCUUGAAGUCAGUCGCGUUGGCCGGGGAUCAGCCUUGCUUUUGUGAGGUGUACUUCCUGGUUGACGGGUCAGCAUCAGUUUCGAUCACUGGAAAAAGGCUUGGGGAAUGUGGCACCUUCGGGUGUGUUAUAGCCUCUUGUUGUAUACAGUGGUUGGGACUGAGGAACUCAGCACGCCGCAAGGCCGGGUUUCGACCACGUUCGUGCUUAGGAUGCUGGCAAAAUGGCUUUAAGCGACCCGUCUUGAAACACGGACCAAGGAGUCUAACAUGCUUGCGAGUGUUUGGGUGGAAAACCCGAGCGCGUAAUGAAAGUGAAAGUUGGGAUCUCUGUCGUGGAGAGCACCGACGCCCGGACCUGAUGUUUACUGACGGAUCUGCGGUAGAGCACGUAUGUUGGGACCCGAAAGAUGGUGAACUAUGCCUGAAUAGGGCGAAGCCAGAGGAAACUCUGGUGGAGGCUCGUAG